CCUACGGGCUGCUGCGGUGGGGAAUAUUGGACAAUGGGCGAAAGCCUGAUCCAGCCAUGCCGCGUGUGUGAAGAAGGCCUUCGGGUUGUAAAGCACUUUCAGUGGGGAAGAAAGCCUUGGGGCUAAUACCCUCGAGGAAGGACAUCACCCACAGAAGAAGCACCGGCUAACUCCGUGCCAGCAGCCGCGGUAAUACGGAGGGUGCGAGCGUUAAUCGGAAUUACUGGGCGUAAAGCGCGCGUAGGCGGUCUGAUAAGCCGGUUGUGAAAGCCCCGGGCUCAACCUGGGAACGGCAUCCGGAACUGUCAGGCUAGAGUGCAGGAGAGGAAGGUAGAAUUCCCGGUGUAGCGGUGAAAUGCGUAGAGAUCGGGAGGAAUACCAGUGGCGAAGGCGGCCUUCUGGACUGACACUGACGCUGAGGUGCGAAAGCGUGGGUAGCAAACAGGAUUAGAUACCCCAGUAGUC
rnacentral:rRNA from 1 species